UACGUAGGGUGCGAGCGUUAAUCGGAAUUACUGGGCGUAAAGCGUGCGCAGGCGGUUUUGUAAGCCCGAUGUGAAAUCCCCGGGCUUAACCUGGGAAUGGCAUUUGGGACUGCAAGGCUUGAGUGCGGCAGAGGAGACUAGAAUUCCUGGUGUAGCAGUGAAAUGCGUAGAUAUCAGGAGGAAUACCGAUGGCGAAGGCAGGUCUCUGGGCUGACACUGACGCUCAUGCACGAAAGCGUGGGGAGCAAACAGG
rnacentral:rRNA from 1 species